UACGUAGGGUGCGAGCGUUGUCCGGAAUUAUUGGGCGUAAAGGGCUCGUAGGCGGUCUGUCGCGUCGGGAGUGAAAACUCAGGGCUUAACCCUGAGCCUGCUUCCGAUACGGGCAGACUAGAGGUAUGCAGGGGAGAACGGAAUUCCCGGUGUAGUGGUGAAAUGCGUAGAUAUCGGGAGGAACACCAGUGGCGAAGGCGACUUCCUGGCCUGUUCUUGACGCUGAGGCGCGAAAGCUAGGGUAGCAAACGGG
rnacentral:rRNA from 1 species